rnacentral:rRNA from 1 species
AACGAACGCUGGCGGCAUGCCUAACACAUGCAAGUCGAACGAGACCUUCGGGUCUAGUGGCGCACGGGUGCGUAACGCGUGGGAAUCUGCCCUUGGGUCUGGAAUAACAGUUAGAAAUGACUGCUAAUACCGGAUGAUGACUUCGGUCCAAAGAUUUAUCGCCCAGGGAUGAGCCCGCGUCGGAUUAGCUAGUUGGUGAGGUAAAAGCUCACCAAGGCGACGAUCCGUAGCUGGUCUGAGAGGAUGAUCAGCCACACUGGGACUGAGACACGGCCCAGGCUCCUACGGGAGGCAGCAGUGGGGAAUAUUGGACAAUGGGCGAAAGCCUGAUCCAGCAAUGCCGCGUGAGUGAUGAAGGCCUUAGGGUUGUAAAGCUCUUUUACCCGGGAUGAUAAUGACAGUACCGGGAGAAUAAGCCCCGGCUAACUCCGUGCCAGCCGCCGCUGUAAAAC